UCAGGACAGGUGUCCGCACUAAGUUCGGUAUUGAUAUGGUGCUCCUGGGGGACCCCGGGGCCACCAGGUCGUCUAAGGAGGGGUGCACCGGCCCAGGUCGGUAACGGAGCAGGUCAAAGUCCCCGUGCUGCUCAGUAGUGGGAUCGCGCCUGUGA
rnacentral:sRNA from 1 species